rnacentral:rRNA from 1 species
GGGCCCGCACAAGCGGUGGAGUAUGUGGUUUAAUUCGAUGCAACGCGAAGAACCUUACCAGGGUUUGACAUCCUGCGAAUCUCUUGGAAACGAGAGAGUGCCUUCGGGAACGCAGUGACAGGUGGUGCAUGGCUGUCGUCAGCUCGUGUCGUGAGAUGUUGGGUUAAGUCCCGCAACGAGCGCAACCCACGUCGUUAGUUGCCAGCAUUUAGUUGGGCACUCUAGCGAGACCGCCGGUGAUAAACCGGAGGAAGGUGUGGAUGACGUCAAGUCAUCAUGCCCCUUACAUCCUGGGCUACACACGUACUACAAUGCUACGGACAAAGGGCAGCAAACUCGCGAGAGCUAGCAAAUCCCAUAAACCGUGGCUCAGUUCAGAUCGUAGGCUGCAACUCGCCUACGUGAAGGAGGAAUCGCUAGUAAUCGCAGGU